AAAAUUAAACACUUUCAACUGUCCUGGCCCUGGAUGGAAUUGGCACUGGAGAAUCAGUUGGGUUCACAUAAUAGCCCAGGAACCUCAAGCAGAAGAGACCAGCAAGGCCAUGAGGAUGCAUACAGAAGAUGUCUAGCUUGGUGGUCCUGGGCCGUGGCAGGAAAGUCAGAGCUGAAACUUGGUAAGUCCUCCAAACUGUGUGAAGCUCCUCUUUAAAUAAAGAAACAAGUUACAGUAUAAAUGAAAAAACUCUAUGA
rnacentral:lncRNA from 1 species